UAUUUCGGGGCACCAUGCUUUAAUUUUGUUUCAUUUUGGCUCAUCGCACUCGUUUAUAUCCUCCAUAUUUGUAAGGCAUGCCAUGUUAGAGUCAGAACCUUUGCUCUUUGCACUGUCUAUUUUCACUUCAUCGGAGAUAUCAUGUUAGUUACUAAAAAUAUAAAGGCAUGUCAGGUAGAGAUAGCAAAUCAUGCAUUAGAUGUAACCUUCAUAAUUCUAAAUAUGCGUGACUUUGAUGUGAUACACGACAUGGAUUGGUUAGCUGCUAAUCAUGCCAGCAUAGAUUGCUUUUGUAAGGAGGCCAUCUUAACCCUCCUACAGGAGCUAGUUUUAAGUUUAAAGGGGUUGGGAUCGUGGUUCUACCCAAAGUGAUUUCAGCAUUGAAGGCCAGUAGACUGUUUGACCAAGGAUCCUGGGGCUUUAUGGCUAGUGUGGUUAACACUAGAGAGGCUAAAGUUGCAUUGACUUCAGAACCAGUAGUAAGAGAUUUUCCAGACGUUUUUCUAGAGAAUCUUCCCAGACUAUCCCACAGCGAGAGAUAGAUUUUGUUAUUAAGUUGGAGCCAGGCACAACCUCAAUUUCGAAAGCUCCAUAUAAGAUGGCACCAACAGAGUUUAGGGAACUUAAGGUCCAGUUGCAGGAGUUGUUGGACAAGGGUUUUAUACGCCCUAGUAUGUCACCAUGGGGUGCACCCGUUUUGUUUGUGAAAAAGAAUGAUGGAUCGUUACAUCUGUGCAUUGAUUACAAAGAGCUGAACAAGGUGACCGUAAAAAAUAAAUAUUCACUCCCCAGGAUUAAUGAAUUGUUUGACAAGUUGCAGGGAGCUACGGUGUUCUCAAAGAUUGAUCUCCGAUUAGGAUACCAUCAGCUGAGAAUAAAGGACAGUGACAUACCCAAGACAACUUUUUGUUCGAGGUAUGGGCAUUAUGAGUUCAUAGUGAUGUCGUUCGGUCUGACGAAUGCCUCAACAGUGUUCAUGGAUCUAAUGAAUAGGGUGUUCAAGGAAUUUCUCAAUACCUUUGUGAUUGUUUUUAUUGAUGACAUCUUGGUAUAUUCCAAGACAGAGGUCGAACAUGAGGAGCAUUUGCAAAAAGUUUUGGAGGCAUUGAGGGCCAAUAAGUUGUAUGUUAAUUUUUCUAAAUGUGAGUUUUGGUUGAGGCAGGUAUCAUUUCUAGGGCAUGUAGUAUCGAAGGAAUAAGUCUCUGUAGAUUCUGCAAAGAUUGAGGCAGUUACGAGUUGAGCUCGUCAAAUCAAAAUCAGUGAGGUGUGCAGUUUCCUGGGGUUAACAGGCUACUAUAGACGAUUUGUAAAGGACUUAUCUCUCAUAGCCGCACCAUUGACUCAGUUGACCCAGAAGGGAGCCCCUUUCGUUUGGAAUGAAGCUUGUGAGAGCAGUUUCCAAGAUUUCAAGUAGAGGUUGGUUUUAGCCCCAUUUCUUAUAGUACCAGAUGGAUAAGGUGGUUUUGUCAUUUAUAGUGAUGCGUCCAAGAAUGGGUUGGGAUACGUAUUGAUGCAACAAGGCAGAGUAGUUACUUACACUUCACGUCAGUUAAAGAAGCGUGAACAGAAUUAUCCUACACACGAAUUAGAAUUAGCAACAGUGGUUUUCGCUCUCAAGAUCUAGAGGCACUACUUAUAUGGAGAGAAGAUUCAGAUUUUCAUCGACCACAAGAGUUUAAAGUACUUUUUCACUCAGAAGAAGUUGAACACGAGGCAAAAAAUGUGGUCAGAGCUGGUGAAGGAUUAUAACUGUGAAGUUUUUUACCACCUAGUGGCAGAUGCCCUAAGUAGAAAGGUGGCUCAUUCAGCAGCCCUCAUUACUAAACAGACUCAUUUGUGCAAAAGGCUAGAGCAGGCAGAGAUUGCAGUGGCAGAGGGGAAGGUCACGACACGGUUAGCGCAGUUGUUAGUGCAACUGAGUCUAAGGCAGAGAAUUAUUGAUGCGCAGCGAUGUGACCCUUAUCUGGAGGAGAGAGUUCGUAAGGUGGAGUCAAAUUAGGAUGGAGAAUUCUCGGUAUCAGCAGAAGGUGGUCUCCUCUAUCAAGGAAAUUUGUUCAUGCCAGCAGAUAAUAAUGUUAAGAAUGAGUUAUUGUCAGAGGCUCAUAGUUCCUUAUUUUCGAUUCAUCCCGACAGCACUAAGAUUUAUCAUGACUUGAAACGUUAUUAAUGGUGGAAUGAUUGGAAAAGAGAGAUUGUGGAGUUUGUCAGUAAGUGCUUGGUGUGCCAGAAGGUGAAAGCCCCGAGACAGAAGCCAGGGGGCUUAUUACAGCCAUUGAGCGCCAUAAUGGAAGUGAGAGCAUGUGUCUAUAGACUUCAUUGUGUGGUUGCCACGUACAGUCAAAUGUUUCACUGUGAUUUGGGUUAUGGUAGACAUACUUACUAAAUUAGCACAUUUCAUACCUGGAAAGUCCACCUUUUCAGUAAAUAAGUAGGCACAAAUAUACAUGAAGGAGGUAGUGAGAUUGCACGGAGUGCCUGUGUCCAUUGUGUCGGACAGAGACCCUCGUUUCACGUCUAACUUCUGGAAGAUUCUUCAAGCAGUUUUGAGGACCCGGUUGGAUUUCAGUACAACUUUUCACCCACAGACUGAUGGGCAGACAGAGCGAUUGAAUCAGAUAUUGGAAAAUAUGUUACAUGCCUAUGCCAUAGAGUUUUUAGGAAGCUGGGAUGCUCAAUUGCAUUUAUUGGAGUUUGCUUAUAAUAACAGUUACCAAUCCACUAUUGGGAUGUCACAAUUUAAGGCCCUAUAUGGAAAGAAUUGUAGGUCUUCUGUGUGUUGGGAUGAGGUAGGAAAGAGGAAAUUGCUAGGACCUGAACUAGUGCAGACCACGAAUGAGGCAAUACAAAAGAUCAAGGCUCGUAUGCAAACAGCUUGAAGCAGACAGAAGAGCUAUGUCGAUGUGAGACGUAAGGACCUGAAAUUUGAGACUGGUGAUAAAACGUUCUUAAAAGUGGUGCCUAUAAAAGGUAUUUUGAGGUUUAGUAGGAAAGGGAAGUUGGGUUCAAGAUUCAUUGGACCUUUCGAGGUCUUGGAACGAAUUGGCCCCGUAGCUUACCGAUUGGCAUUGCCUCCAGCACUGUCUUCACUUCAUAAUGUCUUCCAUGUUUUGAUGCUGAGAAAGUAUGUGAUAGACCCGUCCCAUGUAGUUGACUUUGAGCCUUUGCAGUUGAAUGACAACUUGAGCUACAAGGAGAAACCUGUAGAGAUUCUCGCAGAGAGGUAAAAACAUUGGUCGCAUGGAGAUUGCAUUUGUGAAAGUCCUGUGGCAGAAUCACCAAUUCAAGGAGGCUACCUAGGAGCGAGAGGAUGAGAUGAGGGCCUAGUGCCUGGAGCUUUUUCAAGAAUGAACUUUUAAGGACGAAAGUUGUUUGAGGAGGGAAGAAUGUAACACCCCGAAUUUUUAUUAUUAAUGUAAUUUCAGUAAUUAUUUAUUAAUUUAAGGCAUUUUUGGAAUGUUGGACUUUAAGUGUAAUUGUGGGAAUUUAAUUAUUGACGUUAGAAAUUAUUUAUGUUAGAAAUGAAUAGUAGAAGUUAAUUCUUUUUUAAAGGAAGGGAAUUUAAAGAAUUUAUAUGGAUUAAGAAAAGAAUAAAUUUUAUUUUAUUUUUAUUCUUUCAUUUCCUUUUCUAUUUCUUUUUCUUUUUCUCCCUCCCUUCCCUUCUUCUUCCUCAUGCAGAUACCCCCCUCUCCCCCCAAUUUUUCCCCUUCCUGUUCAUGUGCCCUAACAGCCGCCUUAACUCCUGUCGCCAGCCACAAACCUCGCCCUAGCGUCGUUCGUCUCUUCUAGCUGCAUCGCCUGUUCGCUCGUGUCGGAUCUCACCAGCCGGUCGACGUCGUAUCGCACCCAAUCGACGCCUCAGACCCAGCGGCGCAUCCAUCCGAAGUAGUGUGCCGCUCACCCUCGUGAGCCGUCGCACCUCCCCGAGGUCACCUGCGUCGGAUCUGAAGGUUCGACCGCACCUUCAGCAGCUGCCCGACGCCGUCUAGUUUUGUUUUGUUGAGGCCGAGCUGCUCGUCCAAGACCUCCGCCGUUGCUCGCUGCCACUUCUCCCUCCGGCCAGCCGUCGGUUCGAUCUUCACCGCGCGCCGCCCAACCUUUACCGUUGUCGUGGUUACCAUCAGAUCUUUUUUGGGUAAAGGUAGAGAUACACUGACGAUUGACAAGUGGAAUCCGUGAUCGAGCCACUGGGACUAGUUUUAUUCUUCCGUUCAUGAUAUUUAGAUUUCUUUUCAUGUUUUUCAACUUUCAGUUUUGAUGUUUGAAACUUACUAUUAAGAUUUGUUUUCAAACGUA